UCAUCUAUUAACAAAAAUUCUUGUUAUAUUAAUUUCUAAGUCAAACUAUUCAUGAAAUUUAGUGAGAAAAUACUCAUCUAUCAAUAAAAUUCUAGUUAUACUAAUUUCUAAGUCACAAUCCCAAAUAUACAAUAGUUCUCUAUAGAAAUAAAAAAAUUCCAAAAAUAACAGUUUUGGUAAAAAUUAUUGAGAAACUGCAACCUAUUAAUGAAAAAUUCUGAAAAAUACUCAUCUAUCAAAGAAAAUUCUUGGUAUCCUAAUUUCAAAGUCAGAACCCCAAAUCUACAAUAGUACUCUAUACAAAUGAACACUUUCCAAAAAUAGCAGUUUUUGUAAAAAUGUAUUGAAAAAUGUAACCCAUUGAUGGAAAAUUAUGAAAGAAUAUUCAUCUAUCAAAAAAAAUUCUUGUUAUCCUUAUUUCUAAGUCACAAUCCCAAAUCUACAACAGUUCUCUAUAAAAAAUGAAAAUUUUCCAAAAAUAGCAGGUUUUGUAAAAAAUUGUUUUAAAAAUGCAACCUAUGGAAGAAAAAAAUCUGAAAAAAUACUUAAAUAUCAACAAAAUCUGAAAGAAUACUCAUAUAUUAAAACAAAUUCUUGUUGUCCUUAUUUCUAAGUCACAAUCCCAAGUCUACAACAGUUCUCUAUACAUAUGAAAACUUUCCAAAAACAUCAGUUGUUGUAAAAAGUAUUUAAGAAAUGGAUUCUAUUGAAGAAAAAUCUGAAAUAAUACUUAUAUAUCAACAAAAAUUCUUGUUAUCCUAAUUUCUAAGUGACAGUCUCACAUCUACAAUAGUUCUCUAUAUAAAUCAAAAUUUCCAAAAAUUAGAGGUUUUUUAAAACUUAUUUAAGAAAUGCAACCUAUUGAUGAAAAAUUCUGAAAAAUAUCCAUCUAUUAACAAAAAUUCUUGUUAUACUAAUUUCUAUGUUACAAUCCUAAAUCUACAAUAGUUCUCUAUAUAAAUGAAAAAUUUCCAAAAACAGGAGGUUUUUUAAAAAUUAUUUAAAAAGUGCAACCUAUUGAUAAAUUUUUUGAAAGAAUACUAAUCUAUUAACAAAAAUUCAUGUUAUACUAAUUUCUAAGACAAACUAUUGAUGAAAUUUUGUGAGAGAAUACUCAUCUAUCAACAAAAUUUUGUGACAGAAUACUAAUUUCUAAGUCACAAUCCCAAAUCUACAAUAGUUCUCUAUAGAAAUAAAAUUUUUCCAAAAAUAGCAGAUUUCGUAAAAAUUAUUGAGAAAAUGCAACCUAUUAAUGAAAAAUUCUGAAAAAUACUCAUCUAUAAAAGAAAAUUCCUGUUAUCCUAAUUUCAAAGUCACAACCCUAAAUCUACAAUAGUCCUCUAUACAAAUGAAAACUUUCCAAAAUUAGCUGUUUUUGUAAAAAUAUAUUGAAAAAUGUAACCCAUUGAUGGAAAAUUAUUAAAGAAUACUCAUCUAUCAAAAAAAAUUCUUGUUAUCCUAAUUUCUAAUUCACAAUAUCAAAUCUACAACAGUUCUCUAUAAAAAUGAAAAAUUUCCAAAAAUAGCAGGUUUUGUAAAAAAUUGUUUUAAAAAUCCAAUCUAUGGAAGAAAAAAUCUGAAAGAACACUUAAAUAUCAACAAAAAUUCUUGUUAUCCUAAUUUAUAAGUGACAAUCCCCAAUUUACAAUAGUUCUCUAUAUAAAUGAAAAUUUCCAAAAAUAUGAGGUUUUUUAAAACUUAUUUAAAAAAUGCAACCUAUUGAUGAAAUAUUUUUUAAAAAAAUACUAGGCCCAUCGAUUAACAAAAAUUCUUGUUAUACUAGUUUCUAAGUUACAAUCCUAAAUCUACAAUAGUUCUCUAUGUAAAUGAAAAAUUUCCAAAAACAUGAGCUUUUUUAAAAAUUAUUUAAAACGUACAACGUAUUGAUGAAAUUUUUUGAAAGAAUACUCAUCUAUUAACAAAAAUUCAUGUUAUACUAAUUCCUAAGUCAAACUAUUGAUGAAAUUUAGUGAGAGAAUACUCAUCUAUCAACAAAAUUCUAGUUAUCCUAAUUUCUAAGUCACAAUCCCAAAUCUACAAUAGUUCUAAAUAGAAAUAAAAACUUUCCAAAAAUAGCAGCUUUCGUAAAAACUAUUGAGAAAAUGCAACCUAUUAAUGAAAAAUUCUGAAAAAUACUCAUCUAUCAAAGAAAAAUCUUGUUAUCCUAAUUUCAAAGUCACAAACCCAAAUCUACAAUAGUACUCUAUACAAAUGAAAACUUUCCAAAAAUAGCAGUUUUAUGAAAAAAUAUAUUGAAAAAUGUAAGCCAUUGAUGGAAAAUUAUGAAAGAAUACUCAUCUAUCAAAACAAAUUCUUGUUAUCCUUAUUUCUAAGUCACAAUCUCAAAUCUACAACAGUUCUCUAUAAAAAUAAAAAUUUUCCAAAAAUAGCAGGUUUUGUAAAAAAUUGUUUUAAAAAUGCAAUCUAUGGAAGAAAAAAAUCUGAGAGAAUACUUAAAUAUCAACAAAAAUUCUUGUUAUCCUAAUUUCUAAGUGACAAUCCACAAUCUAAAUUAGUUGUCUAUUUAAAUGAAAACUUUCCAAAAAUAGAAGUUUUAUAAAAAAUUAUUUUAAAAAUGCAACCUACUGAUAAAGUUUUUUGAAAGAAUACUUAUAUAUCAAAGAAAAUUCUUGUUAUACUAAUUUCUAAGUGACAAUCCAAAUCUACAAUAGUUCUCUAUGUAAAUGAAAACUUUCCAAAAAUAAGAGGUUUUUUAAAAAUUAUUUAAAAAAUGCAACCUAUUGAUGAACAAUUCUGAAAGAAUACUCAUCUAUCAACGAAAAUUCUUGUUAUCCUAAUUUUAAAGUCAUAACCCCAAAUCUAUAAUAGUACUCUAUAAAAAUGAAAACUUUCCAAAAAUAGCAGUUUUUGUAAAUACUAUUGAAAAAUAUAACUUAUUGAUGAAAAAUUCUGAAAGAAUACUCUUCUAUCAAAACAAAUUCUUGCUAUCCUUAUUUCUAAGUCACAAUCCCAAAUCUACAACAGUUCUCUAUAAUAAUGAAAAAUUUCCAAAAAUUAGCAGUAUUUGUAUGAAUUAUUUAAAAAAUGCAAUCUAUAUAGAAGAAAAAAUCUCAAAAAAUACUCAUCUAUCAACAAAAUUCUCGGUAUCCUAAUUUUUAAGUCACAAUCCCAAAUCUACAAUAGUUCUCUAUAGAAAUAAAAACUUUCCAAAAAUAGCAGCUUUCGUAAAAAUUAUUGAGAAAAUGCAACCUAUUAAUGAAAAAUUAUGAAAGAAUACUCAUCUAUUAACAAAAAUUCAUGUUAUACUAAUUUCUAAGUCAAACUAUUGAUGAAAUUUUGUGAGAGAAUACUCAUAUAUCAACAAAAUUCUAGUUAUCCAAAUUUCUAAGUCACAAUCCUAAAUCUACAAUAGUUCUCUAUAGAAAUAAAAACUUUCCAAAAUAGCUGCUUUCGUAAAAAUUAUUGAGAAAAUGCAACAUAUUAAUGAAAAAUUCUGAAAAAUACUAAUCUAUCAAAGAAAAUUCUUGUUUCUAAUUUCAAAGUCACAACCCCAAAUCUACAAUAGUACUCUAUACAAAUGAAAACUUUCCAAAAAUAGCAGUUUUUGUAAAAAUAUAUUGAAAAAUGUAACCCAUUGAUGCAAAAUUAUGAAAGAAUACUCAUCUAUCAAAAAUAAUUAUUCUUAUCCUUAUUUCUAAGUCACAAUCUCAAAUCUACAACAGUUCUCUAUAAAAAUAAAAAAUUUCCAAAAAUAGCACGUUUUGUAAAAAAAUGUUUUAAAAAUGCCGUCUAUUGAAGAAAAAAUCUGAAAGAGUACUUAAAUAUCAACAAAAAUUCUUGUUAUCUUAAUUUUUAAGUAACAAUCCACGAUCUACAGUAGUUCUCUAUUUAAAUAAAAAAUUUCCUAAAAUAUGAGUUUGAUUAAAAAUUAUUUUAAAAAUGCAACCUACUAAUAAAGUUUUUUGAAAGAAUACUUAUAUAUCAACGAAAAUUCUUGUUAUCCUAAUUUGUAAGUGACAAUCUCAAAUCUACAAUAGUUCUCUAUGUAAAUGUAAACUUUCCAAAAAUAAGAGGUUUUUUAAAAAUUAUUUAAAAAAUGCAACCUAUUGAUGAAAAAUUCUGAAAGAAUACUCGUCUAUCAACGAAAAUUCUUGUUAUCCUAAUUUUAAAGUCACAACCCCAAAUCUAUAAUAGUACUCCAUAAAAAUGAAAACUUUCCAAAAACAGCAGU
rnacentral:lncRNA from 1 species